AUUGAACGCUGGCGGCAGGCCUAACACAUGCAAGUCGAACGAGUGGCGCACGGGUGAGUAAUGUCGGGGAAAGUGCCCGAGGGAGGGGGAAAACCACUGGAAAAGGUAGCUAAUACCGCAUAACAUCGGAGGUGCACAGAUGGGAUUAGCUAGGAGGUGGGGGAAGGGCUCACCUAGGCGACGACCCCUAGCUGGUCUGAGAGGAUGACCAGCCACACUGGAACUGAGACACGGCCCAGACUCCUACGGGAGGCAGCAGUGGGGAAUAUUGCACAAUGGGCGCAAGCCUGAUACAGCCAUGCCGCGUGUAUGAAGAAGGCCCUCGGGUUGUAAAGUACUUUCAGCGAGGAGGCGUUACUCACAGAAGAAGCACCGGCUAACUCCGUGCCAGCAGCCGCGGUAAUAC
rnacentral:rRNA from 1 species